UACGGGGGGGGCAAGCGUUGUUCGGAAUUACUGGGCGUAAAGGGCUCGUAGGCGGCCAACUAAGUCAGACGUGAAAUCCCUCGGCUCAACCGGGGAACUGCGUCUGAUACUGGAUGGCUUGAAUCCGGGAGAGGGAUGCGGAAUUCCAGGUGUAGCGGUGAAAUGCGUAGAUAUCUGGAGGAACACCGGUGGCGAAGGCGGCAUCCUGGACCGGUAUUGACGCUGAGGAGCGAAAGCCAGGGGAGCAAAGCGGG
rnacentral:rRNA from 1 species